GCCUGGGUGGCUCAGUCGGUUGAGCAUCUGACUUUGGUUCAGGUCAUGAUCCCGCGGUACGUGGGUUCGAGCCCCAUGUCGGGCU
rfam:Felis catus isolate Cinnamon breed Abyssinian chromosome B4, whole genome shotgun sequence.